GGAUAGAUAUAAUGCAGAUUUUCCAGAAAUCUAGCCCUCUUUUCAACGGGAAUAACUCGAAUUACAACGACUAAUUGAUCCUGAACUGCAGUUACUCAAAACUACCAGCGCUAAUAGCUGUGAUGCCAGAAUUAACUCUAAGUAUGCCCUUUUUGUGUGAUUUCCUUUGCCUUAAUACAGACCCUCUGAAUCCCUUGUUCCAUGCUCCAAUCAUAGGAAGAAGAACGCUUCCAAUCCACUAAUUCACUCACGCAUGAGCUGUCCCCCUUUCCAUCCUCAAAAUAAGGCAUCGAAACCCCAUCCCCCUCUAAGGAAUCAACACAGGAAAAAACCUUCUUUCCCUUUGAUUUAUCCUCUAUCCCCCAUGGAAGAGGAUGACUCACAUGUUGAACUAGUCCAGACCUCCCUUGCCCUCUUCUUUGAUUUCUCCAAACAACUUCUCCGAGCUUCCAUAAUCGAUAGGAUCUGCCUUGCUUCUUCCUUGAAGAUGGUCCACUCUCUCCUGCU
rnacentral:lncRNA from 1 species